AAUCGCCCAUCACUAGAUAUUGUUGAAUAAAGUUGUUAUUUAGUUUAAUAAUCGCAAUAUGCUCCGCAUUUUGUUACUUUCGAUAAGAAACAAAGUGUCAUCUUUCCAAUUCUGUCCAUUUUAUCACGAAAUUCAAACAAAAAAUGCGGUUUUUACUCUCUUUGAUGUUGCGUGGCAGAUCACUGUACAGGCGCCUCAUUUCAAACGGCAGCGUGGAGCACGAGAGAAAGCGGUCAUCUCUUCCUCUUUAAAACUAGCUACAGAAUAAACAUGAAUGAACAUCUGAAGCGUGUGUCCAUCAUGCUUUACUGAGAAGUGGCUCUCAUACUGUGAAAACCACAGACCACAAAUAUAACGGCAACCGACUCAGGGACACCAGUCCUGGGAUCACUGGAGGAUUCACUCUAUAAAAAACUAAAGGUUCACAGCAAGGUCAGUGUCAGUAUUCAUCUAUUUUGAUGGCACUUUCAUUGGCAGGUUUUUAAUUAACAAUUCACUGCUUGUGAAAAAAAUGGCAGUUUAGGGAGAUUUUCAGGAUGAUAAACAGG